rnacentral:rRNA from 1 species
GACGAACGCUGGCGGCGUGCUUAACACAUGCAAGUCGAACGGAAAGGCCCUGCUUUUGUGGGGUGCUCGAGUGGCGAACGGGUGAGUAACACGUGAGUAACCUGCCCUUGACUUUGGGAUAACUUCAGGAAACUGGGGCUAAUACCGGAUAGGAGCUCCUGCUGCAUGGUGGGGGUUGGAAAGUUUCGGCGGUUGGGGAUGGACUCGCGGCUUAUGAGCUUGUUGGUGGGGUAGUGGCAUACCAAGGCUUUGACGGGUAGCCGGCCUGAGAGGGUCACCGGCCACAUUAGGACUGAGAUACGGCCCAGACUCGUACGGGAGGCAGCAGUGGAGAAUAUUGCACAAUGGGCGGAAGCCUGAUGUAGCAAAGCCGCGUGCGGGAUGAGGGCAUGCGGGUUGUAAACCGCUGUCGCCUGUGACGAAGCGUGAGUGACGGUAAUGGGUAAAGAAGCACCGGCUAACUACGUG